rnacentral:rRNA from 1 species
UACGGAGGGGGCGAGCGUUAUUCGGAAUUAUUGGGCGUAAAGGGCGCGUAGGCGGCCCGGUAAGUCAAAGGUGAAAUCCCUCGGCUCAACUGAGGAACUGCCUUUGAAACUGCUGGGCUUGAGUCCGGGAGGGGGUAGCGGAAUUCCCAGUGUAGCGGUGAAAUGCGUAGAUAUUGGGAGGAACACCGGUGGCGAAGGCGGCCCUCUGGACGGAUACUGACGCUGAGGCGCGAAAGCGUGGGGAUCAAACAGG